CGGGGGAAGGUAGCUUGCUACCGGACCUAGCGGCGGACGGGUGAGUAAUGCUUAGGAAUCUGCCUAUUAGUGGGGGACAACAUCUCGAAAGGGAUGCUAAUACCGCAUACGUCCUACGGGAGAAAGCAGGGGAUCUUCGGACCUUGCGCUAAUAGAUGAGCCUAAGUCGGAUUAGCUAGUUGGUGGGGUAAAGGCCUACCAAGGCGACGAUCUGUAGCGGGUCUGAGAGGAUGAUCCGCCACACUGGGACUGAGACACGGCCCAGACUCCUACGGGAGGCAGCAGUGGGGAAUAUUGGACAAUGGGGGGAACCCUGAUCCAGCCAUGCCGCGUGUGUGAAGAAGGCCUUAUGGUUGUAAAGCACUUUAAGCGAGGAGGAGGCUACUCUAGUUAAUACCUAGAGAUAGUGGACGUUACUCGCAGAAUAAGCACCGGCUAACUCUGUGCCAGC
rnacentral:rRNA from 1 species